rnacentral:tRNA from 2 species
GGUGGCGUGGCCGAGUUGGUCUAAGGCGUCGGAUUUAAGAUCUUCUUGAUUCCCGAUGGGAGCAAUCCCGCGCGAGUUCGAACCUCGCCGCCACCA